ensembl:lncRNA
AUUUUAUUGUAUGAUAAUAUAUUUCACCAAUAUUGUGCAAACACACUGAUUAUCUUUUAAAAUAAUUUCAAAAUGCUGCAGUGCAUAUACAUUUUACACAUAUAUAUUUUUGCAUCCUUAUCUAAUUAUUUUCAUAGGGGAGGUGUCUAAAGAAGGCAUUUCUAAAUAAAGGUGGAAAUAUUUAAAAUGUUGAUAUAUAUUUUCAAAUUGACUUCCUAUUAUAAUAAUUUACACUUCCACUGACAUGAGAGCGCAUUUUCUCAGCUCUCUGAUAACGAUAAGGCUUAUCAUUAUUUUUACAAUAGGAUAAUGCAGAAGUAGAAUCUAAUUAUUUUAAUAGAUUUUCUUUGAUUACUAGUGAGCUUAAGCAUCCAUUUUUAUGCCCAUUGGCCCUUUGGGCUUUUGUAAAUGCAUGCUCUGGCCCAGUCUGCUCCCCUUCCCCCACUGGUGCUGUUAAUCUUUUCCUUUUUGCUUAGUCAGAGUUCUUUUUCAUUUUUCGUCUUUUACAUAGGGUGAGUCUGAUUCAGGCUUUCAUCCUUUCUUGCCUAACAGACUGCAUUUAUAUUUUUAUAUAUAAUAUAUUCUCCAUUGGUCUUUUAACGUCCUUCUCAGAAGUUGGCUCCUUUUCUCUCUCCCUCCCUCCUUCCCUCUCUUUUCUCUUGUCUUCUCUUUUCUCUUUGUUUCUUUCUCUCUUUAUUUCUCUCUCUCCCUCUCUCUCUCCUUUGAUUUUUUUUUUUCCAGUGCAGAAGUUUUUAAUUUUGAACGAGUCGAAUCUAUCAUUCUGGGCCUGGCGCCGCGUCAGCAGAGGGGGCGGGGAGGCGGCGCGGAACUGGGGGAGGGGCCGGGACGGGGAGGAGCGGGCAUAGCCGUUGCAGGAGUUGCUGGGAGUGCGCGCGGUGCGAUCGCUCGGCGGCGGCGGAGGAGGCCCAGAGCGCAGACACUUCUCCCGCGGCCUACAGAGCCUUCUGCCCAUCGGAGGACCAGGAAACCGCAGUCUUCAUCACAGAGUCUCUGAGGGAUUGCAGAAUGACUCUAUAUCCUUGGUGCAUUCAUAAAAUGGUUCACCUAGUGAAGAUAAUGAAGAUGAUUGACAAUGCUGCCCUGCUUUUUCUGAUGUCCUGCACCAGGUAAUUGUGUUUUUUAAGGUAAUUUAUUUACCAAAAACUUACCAAGGGGGGAAGAGGAAUAAGAGUUGUAAAAAGAAAGCCAAACAAAAAACAAAGCUAGCACCAAAUAGGAAAAUUGAAACUCUUUUCUACAUUAUAUGAAACCAUAUAUACCAUAUAAUAAUAAUAAUGUAAUUUAUAAGCUGCUUUGUUAGACCCAUUCCUAAUUACCUUAUAGUUUUUGUUUUUACUGGGAAAUGUAUAAAUGUGUCUAAAACCACAUGUUAUGAUUUUUUGCUGGUAAAUGGGAACAUGAUUGAUAUUUUUACAUAUUGAUUUUAUAUGCUACAGUCUUUCUGAAUUCUGUUUGUUCUGAUAAUUUAUAGAUUUUCUUGGAUUAUCUAUUAAUGAUAUUGUGAAUAAUGGCAGUUUCUUGUCAAUAUUUAUUUUUUAGCUUGUCUUACUCUGUCAGCUAGGAUCUUCAGUUCAAUGAGAAACAAUAACAGUGAUGGAGGAUUUUCUUCUCUUACUUUUGAAUUUACAAGGAAAUUCUGCAAAUGUUUCACCAUUUUUAGAUUUGCUUCUUCAGGAAGCAAAGUCUGUUCAUUUCUAUUCUUAGUAUGCUGAGACUUUUUAAUUAUGAAGGGAUAUGGAGUUUUUCUCCAUUAAUUUGAGAGUGUGACCAUGUGAUAAGUUACAGCAAUCAAUUUUCUAAUAUAUUUUCUGAUUUUGGUUUCAUCACCCUCACCAUUGACUAUUUUGUUUUUAAAAUUUUUGCUUUAAUCUGUAUUAUUCUGUUUACUUGCUUUAUGUUUGCUCUUUUUCUAAUUUAUCUUCUGGACUUUUAGCCCAACAAUUAUCAAGCUCCGUUUCUAAAAUAAGAAUUUAUGACUAUAAAUCUUCCAAUACAUAUGAUGCUGAAGGAAUUUCAC